GACGAACGCUGGCGGCGUGCUUAACACAUGCAAGUCGAACGGAAAGGCCCUGCUUUUGUGGGGUGCUCGAGUGGCGAACGGGUGAGUAACACGUGAGUAACCUGCCCUUGACUUUGGGAUAACUUCAGGAAACUGGGGCUAAUACCGGAUAGGAUCUCCUGCUGCAUGGUGGGGGUUGGAAAGUUUCGGCGGUUGGGGCUGGAAUCGAGACUUAUCAGCUUGUUGGUGGGGUAGUGGCUUUCCAAGGCUUUGACGGGUAGCCGGCCUGAGAGGGUGACCGGCCACAUUGGGACUGAGAUACGGCCCAGAAUCGAACGGUAGGCAGAAGUGGGGAAUAUUGCAGAGUAGGCGGAAGCCUGAUGCAGCAACGCCGCGUGCGGGAUGACGGCUUUCGGGUUGUAAACCGCUUUCGCCUGUAACGAAGCGUGAGUGACGGUAAUGGGUAAAGAAGCACCGGCUAACUACGUG
rnacentral:rRNA from 1 species